rnacentral:lncRNA from 1 species
AGGCACGCGGCUCACACUCCUGGCACCCCUGGGGGUAGCUGUUGAGGCCAUGCACCUUCUCGCCUGUCUCACUUCCUUACUACACUGCGUGUGCUCCUCAAUCCCCCAAACCCUUGUCUCAGGUCUGACUCUAGACAAACUCAAGUUUUGCAAGUGGAGCUGAGCUUCCAGGGAACUUUUCAAGAUGGCUGGGACAUUAUGCGAUCAAAACAGAUUUGGGACAAAGGAAUGGUAUGAGCACCUGCCACCAGGUGAGGAACGGUGCUCUCAAAAAGCCCAGGUGAGAGAUUCUCAAACUUAAAGCUUUAUUCAGAAAUAGGGUCUUUGCAUAUGUAACCAAGUUAUGAUGACUUCCUGAGGGUGGUCCCUAAUCCAAUAUGACUGGCGUCCUUAAGAGAAGAGGGGAAUUUGGACACAAACUCACACUCAGAGGAGACACAGUGGGAAGAUGAAGGAAGAGAUCAGAGUGAUGCUGCCAGGGGCCACCAGAACGGGGAAGAGCCAAGAAAAGAUCCUCCCGAAGGGCCUUUGGAGAGAGAAAGACCCUUCCAACACCUUGGUUUCGGACUUCUAGCCUCCAGAUCAGUGGAAGAUCAUGUUUCUGUUGUUUUAAGCCACCCAGUUUGUGGUGCUGUGUAGGGCAGCACUGGGAAACUCAUGUAUGUGGAUUUUGUCAGAAGUCCGCUGAAAAGGCUUCAUUUUCUUUUUUCAAAACAAUAAAGCGAAAUGUUAAAAAAAAAAUUAAGUCCUCCA